rnacentral:rRNA from 1 species
UACGAAGGGGGCUAGCGUUGCUCGGAAUCACUGGGCGUAAAGGGUGCGUAGGCGGGUCUUUUAAGUCAGGGGUGAAAUCCUGGAGCUCAACUCCAGAACUGCCUUUGAUACUGAAGAUCUUGAGUUCGGGAGAGGUGAGUGGAACUGCGAGUGUAGAGGUGAAAUUCGUAGAUAUUCGCAAGAACACCAGUGGCGAAGGCGGCUCACUGGCCCGAUACUGACG